UGGAGUAUAGCAAGUGGUAAGCAUCGGUUUUGGUACCGCAUGCAAAGGUUCGAAUCCUUUACUCCAGAUUAUGAACACCGAUCGGAUCUGUCAAGAACGAGCUGACGACUACAGGGGAAGCGGCUGAUUGAAGUCCCUGAGCCCCAGCCCCCGGAGCCGGAGCCGG